UACGAAGGGGGCUAGCGUUGCUCGGAAUCACUGGGCGUAAAGCGCACGUAGGCGGAUUGCUAAGUCAGGGGUGAAAUCCUGGAGCUCAACUCCAGAACUGCCUUUGGUACUGGCGAUCUCGAGUCCGGGAGAGGUGAGUGGAACUGCGAGUGUAGAGGUGAAAUUCGUAGAUAUUCGCAAGAACACCAGUGGCGAAGGCGGCUCACUGGCCCGGUACUGACGCUGAGGUGCGAAAGCGUGGGGAGCAAACAGG
rnacentral:rRNA from 1 species